rnacentral:rRNA from 1 species
AUGGCUCAAGAAGUGAAGCAGCAGCAAGCCGCUAUCAUGGUGAGAUAUUACGAACCUAGUUUCACGGUGUUGGUGCGCAACUUGCCCCUUGGAGUGAACAGCUCUCAGCUGCAACUCUUCUUCAGUAACCACGGCAAAGUGUCCCAUGCCAAACUGAUCUACUACAACAAGACAAAGACCAUAGAGGUUGCCGGCAUCUUAACUAUAACGAUGGUGCAUGCCCACCAAGAAGAAGCUCUAGGCGCUCUCAGCGGACUGUCUUUGGAUGGAUGCAGCCUCGAGGUUAGCUUGGUCAAGGAGGAGCAACGACGGCGGAGACAUGGCCGUCCACUUCGUUGA